UGCAAGCCUUGCUGACCUAGAUGU
rnacentral:misc_RNA from 1 species